GAUGAGAACGUAGCGAAAUGCGAUAAAUAAUGUGAAUUGCAGAAUUCAGUGAAUCAUCGAGUCUUUGAACGCACAUUGCGCCCCCUGGUAUUCCGGGGGGCAUGCCUGUCCGAGCGUCAUUGCUGCCCUCAAGCACGGCUUGUGUGUUGGGCCCCCGUCCCCCCCUCCCGGGGGACGGGCCCGAAAGGCAGCGGCGGCACCGCGUCCGGUCCUCGAGCGUAUGGGGCUUUGUCACCCGCUCUGUAGGCCCGGCCGGCGCCUGCCGACCACCAUCAAUCUUUUUUCAGGUUGACCUCGGAUCAGGUAGGGAUACCCGCUGAACUUAAGCAUAUCAAUAAGCGGAGGA
rnacentral:misc_RNA from 1 species